rnacentral:rRNA from 1 species
GAUGAACGCUGGCGGCGUGCCUAAUACAUGCAAGUCGAGCGAACGGACGAGAAGCUUGCUUUUCUGAUGUUAGCGGCGGACGGGUGAGUAACACGUGGAUAACCUACCUAUAAGACUGGGAUAACUUCGGGAAACCGGAGCUAAUACCGGAUAAUAUUUUGAACCGCAUGGUUCAAAAGUGAAAGACGGUCUUGCUGUCACUUAUAGAUGGAUCCGCGCUGCAUUAGCUAGUUGGUAAGGUAACGGCUUACCAAGGCAACGAUGCAUAGCCGACCUGAGAGGGUGAUCGGCCACACUGGAACUGAGACACGGUCCAGACUCCUACGGGAGGCAGCAGUAGGGAAUCUUCCGCAAUGGGCGAAAGCCUGACGGAGCAACGCCGCGUGAGUGAUGAAGGUCUUCGGAUCGUAAAACUCUGUUAUUAGGGAAGAACAUAUGUGUAAGUAACUGUGCACAUCUUGACGGUACCUAAUCAGAAAGCCACGGCUAACUACGUGCCAGCAGCCGCGGUAAUACGUAGGUGGCAAGCGUUAUCCGGAAUUAUUGGGCGUAAAGCGCGCGUAGGCGGUUUUUUCAGUCUGAUGUGAAAGCCCACGGCUCAACCGUGGAGGGUCAUUGGAAACUGGAAAACUUGAGUGCAGAAGAGGAAAGUGGAAUUCCAUGUGUAGCGGUGAAAUGCGCAGAGAUGUGGAGGAACACCAGUGGCGAAGGCGACUUUCUGGUCUGUAACUGACGCUGAUGUGCGAAAGCGUGGGGAUCAAACAGGAUUAGAUACCCUGGUAGUCCACGCCGUAAACGAUGAGUGCUAAGUGUUAGGGGGUUUCCGCCCCUUAGUGCUGCAGCUAACGCAUUAAGCACUCCGCCUGGGGAGUACGACCGCAAGGUUGAAACUCAAAGGAAUUGACGGGGGCCCGCACAAGCGGUGGAGCAUGUGGUUUAAUUCGAAGCAACGCGAAGAACCUUACCAAAUCUUGACAUCCUUUGACAACUCUAGAGAUAGAGCCUUCCCCUUCGGGGGACAAAGUGACAGGUGGUGCAUGGUUGUCGUCAGCUCGUGUCGUGAGAUGUUGGGUUAAGUCCCGCAACGAGCGCAACCCUUAAGCUUAGUUGCCAUCAUUAAGUUGGGCACUCUAAGUUGACUGCCGGUGACAAACCGGAGGAAGGUGGGGAUGACGUCAAAUCAUCAUGCCCCUUAUGAUUUGGGCUACACACGUGCUACAAUGGACAAUACAAAGGGCAGCGAAACCGCGAGGUCAAGCAAAUCCCAUAAAGUUGUUCUCAGUUCGGAUUGUAGUCUGCAACUCGACUACAUGAAGCUGGAAUCGCUAGUAAUCGUAGAUCAGCAUGCUACGGUGAAUACGUUCCCGGGUCU